UCGUGUAGUGAUGAUAUCAUUUACCGCCCCAGGCUGAGUCCCCAUGACUGAUUGGAUUUUCUGAUUAUUC